UACGUAGGGGGCAAGCGUUGUCCGGAUUUACUGGGCGUAAAGAGCGUGUAGGCGGCCAAACAGGUCCGUUGUGAAAACUGGAGGCUCAACCUCCAGACGUCGACGGAAACCGUGUGGCUAGAGUCCGGAAGAGGAGAGUGGAAUUCCGAGUGUAGAGGUGAAAUUCGUAGAUAUUCGGAGGAACACCAGUGGCGAAGGCGGCUCACUGGCUCGGUACUGACGCUGAGGUGCGAAAGCGUGGGGAGCAAACAGG
rnacentral:rRNA from 1 species